rnacentral:hammerhead_ribozyme from 1 species
AUCCAGCUGACGAGUCCAAAAUCGGACGAAACACUCGUCCUGGAU